rnacentral:lncRNA from 1 species
AAUGUGAAGGCCUGGCUAUAAAUAAUGAGCUAUGGGGUGGUUAUGCUGCACCAUAGCUCAUGCUACACUAACUGCUGAUGCCAUCUGCUGGCUAAACCUGUAAACUACACGCUUCACCCAAGACAGUACAUGUGUGCAGGCGUUGUCUUUAUUAACCCUUUCUCCCUUUUCUCUUUGUUUUAGUUUGCCUUCCUGCAGAUGGUUACAGUUCCGGUCGGGUGAGAUGAAAGGCAGAUUGGUCCAACGUGCAGUGCGGCCAACGCUUGUCCAUAAGAGCCACGCUGCGUUCAGCCUAUAACAAGCUGGAGGCAAUCACACAAAGCCGCACUCGACGGGGCGCAGCAGAUGUCCGGCGUAACCUUUGAAAUAUUUUCAAACGGAGCCUUAGCGGGCGGGCCACGACCUUGGUGUUGGAGGGAUGGCGUCAAAGGAAGACGGGGAGCAGGAGCAGCGUGGCAGCGUAGUGGAAAGCAGCCAAGGGGGUCUGUGUGGGUUCUCUCCUGCAGUCCAGAAACAUGCAGGCAGGUUGAUUUGGGACAUUGGUGUGUGUAUAUGUGUACUGUAUGUGUGUGUGUUUGAACAAUAUUUAUGUGCAUAAAAGUUCUUAUGUUCUUGUUCUUGCUUGUUAUGUUAUCUUUUCUCUUCUGUUUACUUUUCCAUACAUUGGGUGAAGAUAUACAAAUAUGUAUGUCGAUGCAGUGGUUCCUGUGCAUCCAUUUGAAUCUAGUUUGAUCUGGCGCCUUGCCACGACCUUAGAACAACUUUACAUGCCUCCAGAACCUCCCACCAGCGCCUACUGGACACGAAGGCAGUCUUGUAUACGCAGAUGGUCAUUAUAGUUUACUAUGGAAUACAAAGAACAUCACAUUGUCAACCUUCAGCAUCCCUUUAUUCCCCCUCUGUCAUUCUCUGUUGUUGCUUCCAUUUUUUAAUCAUUUGUCUUUGUUUCCAGUUAUUGGAUUUACUUGUUUUGUGUGAAGGUCUUCGUUGUGUGCCUGGCGUCAAAGUUAAAAGUAGCAUCACUGCCUGUCUGCUUCCAUCCUUAAUUAUCUUCUUCUAGCCGGAGAAGGUCUGAAUCUGUGAACCACUGCAUGUUUCAUUAAAUCUACUCAUUUUCCCAGCGUGUCUACCUUGACCUGUUGACCUCUUCCCAUUUCCUUUUCUCUUUUGCUUCACUUCCCACCACAGUGGUGAGUCUCCCCCUUAUCAAAGAAACACAUAUUUUAAAACAUGCUGGGAUUUUCUUUUCUUCCUCCCUUUGUCUAAGCCAAAGUAGACGUGCGGCAGAGGAGUCUGUAGUCCUGAAUGUCUUGGCCAGACCUUCACCUGACCUGCCUU